GGAGCUGUGCCUGAAUGACACAAGGACCACUUUGAUAGAGUGAACCACGGAGACUAAAAUCCUCCCAGCUCCU
rnacentral:tRNA from 1 species